UCAGCAGCAGCUGGAGAAUAGGAGUGUAUGUGGAUCACAGAGCAGGAAUUCUGUCCUUCUACAGAGUCUCUGACACAAUGACCCUCAUCCACAGAAUCCAGACCACAUUCACUCAACCGCUCUACCCUGGGU